rnacentral:rRNA from 1 species
AACGAACGCUGGCGGCAGGCUUAACACAUGCAAGUCGAGCGCCCCGCAAGGGGAGCGGCAGACGGGUGAGUAACGCGCGGGAACGUACCCUUUGCUACGGAAUAGCUCCGGGAAACUGGAAUUAAUACCGUAUGUGCCCUACGGGGGAAAGAUUUAUCGGCAAAGGAUCGGCCCGCGUUGGAUUAGCUAGUUGGUGGGGUAAUGGCCUACCAAGGCGACGAUCCAUAGCUGGUCUGAGAGGAUGAUCAGCCACAUUGGGACUGAGACACGGCCCAAACUCCUACGGGAGGCACCAGUGGGGAAUAUUGGACAAUGGGCGCAAGCCUGAUCCAGCCAUGCCGCGUGAGUGAUGAAGGCCUUAGGGUUGUAAAGCUCUUUCACCGGGGAAGAUAAUGACGGUAUCCGGAGAAGAAGCCCCGGCUAACUUCGUGCCAGCCGCCGCCGUAACAC